UCAGUAACACGUAGUCAACAUGCCCAGGGGACGUGGAUAACCUCGGGAAACUGAGGAUAAACCGCGAUAAGUCACUACUUCUGGAAUGGGUAAUGACUCAAAUCUAUAUGGCCCCUGGAUUGGACUGCGGCCGAUCAGGCUGUUGGUGAGGUAAUGGCCCACCAAACCUGUAACCGGUACGGGCUCUGAGAGGAGGAGCCCGGAGAUGGGCACUGAGACAAGGGCCCAGGCCCUAUGGGGCGCAGCAGGCGCGAAACCUCUGCAAUAGGCGAAAGCUUGACAGGGUUACUCUGAGUGAUUUCCGUUAAGGAGAUCUUUUGGCACCUCUAAAAAUGGUGCAGAAUACGGGGUGGGCAAGUCUGGUGCCAGC
rnacentral:rRNA from 1 species